GGUUGGAUGGCCGAGCGGUCUAAGGCGCCAGACUAAGGAUCCGCUUCAUUCUGAAGCAUCAAUUUCCAUACGGAAAUCUGGUCCUCCGGGGCGUGGGUUCGAAUCCCACUCCAAUCA